rnacentral:tRNA from 1 species
UCCCUGGAGGUACAGUGGUUAAGACUCUGCACUUGAAAUGCAGGUGGCUUAGGUUCGAUCCCUGGUCAGGGAA